AUUGAACGCUGGCGGUAUGCUUAACACAUGCAAGUCGAACGGUAGCAGGCCUUCGGGCGCUGACGAGUGGCGGACGGGUGAGUAAUGCAUAGGAAUCUGCCUAUUAGUGGGGGACAACGUGGGGAAACUCACGCUAAUACCGCAUACGUCCUACGGGAGAAAGCUGGGGACCUUCGGGCCUGGCGCUAAUAGAUGAGCCUAUGUCGGAUUAGCUAGUUGGUAGGGUAAAAGCCUACCAAGGCGACGAUCCGUAGCUGGUCUGAGAGGAUGAUCAGCCACACUGGGACUGAGACACGGCCCAGACUCCUACGGGAGGCAGCAGUGGGGAAUAUUGGACAAUGGGCGAAAGCCUGAUCCAGCAAUACCGCGUGUGUGAAGAAGGCCUGAGGGUUGUAAAGCACUUUCAGGAGGGACGAAGCUACUCGGGUGAACAGCCCAGAGGGUGACGGUACCUCCAGAAGAAGCCCCGGCUAACUACGUGCCAGCAGCCGCGGUAAAAC
rnacentral:rRNA from 1 species